GACGAACGCUGGCGGCGUGCUUAACACAUGCAAGUCGAACGGAAAGGCCUCUUUCGGGGGGUACUCGAGUGGCGAACGGGUGAGUAACACGUGAGUAACCUGCCCUUGACUUUGGGAUAACUUCAGGAAACUGGGGCUAAUACCGGAUAGGAGCUCCUGCUGCAUGGUGGGGGUUGGAAAGUUUCGGCGGUUGGGGAUGGACUCGCGGCUUAUCAGCUUGUUGGUGGGGUAGUGGCUUACCAAGGCUUUGACGGGUAGCCGGCCUGAGAGGGUGACCGGCCACAUUGGGACUGGGAUACGGCCCAGACUCCUACGGGAAGCAGCAGUGGGGAAUAUUGCACAAUGGGUGGAAGCCUGAUGCAGCAACGCCGUGUGCGGGAUGACGGCCUUCGGGUUGUAAACCGCUUUCGCUCAUGACGAAGCUUUGUGUGACGGUAGUGGGUAAAGAAGCACCGGCUAACUACGUG
rnacentral:rRNA from 1 species